CCAAGGAGUUCAGUAGGCACGCGAGUCGUUGACGUUUUUCAUUGAACAGUCGAAGGCGAAAUGAAAGUGUUCAUGAAAAUGAACUGUACUUUUUUAUGGAGUGCUGUUCGCUUUCAACAUGAUCGUCCUUUUUUGUGCUUAAUUGUGCAAAAUAGAUGUAUGGGGACGCGCAGUGUAGUGCCGUUGAAUAGUCGCACUGUUCUUUCUUUCUCUUCGGGGUUGGAGGAACAAUUGUCGAUCAGUCGGUUUCGGAGCGUGCACACUGGUACCCGAAAGAUGGUGAACUAUGCUUGAGCAGAAUGAAGCCAGAGGAAACUCUGGUGGAAGUUCGUAGCGGUGUUGACGUGCAAAUCACUCGUCUGACUUGAGUG
rnacentral:rRNA from 1 species